UACGUAGGGUGCGAGCGUUGUCCGGAAUUAUUGGGCGUAAAGGGCUCGUAGGCGGUCUGUUGCGUCGGGAGUGAAACUCAGGGCUUAACCCUGAGCCUGCUUCCGAUACGGGCAGACUAGAGGUAUGCAGGGGAGAACGGAAUUCCUGGUGUAGCGGUGAAAUGCGCAGAUAUCAGGAAGAACACCCGUGGCGAAGGCGGCUCUCUGGGACGGUACUGACGGCUGAGACGCGAAAGCGUGGGGAGCGAACAGG
rnacentral:rRNA from 1 species